UGCCAGCAGCCGCGGUAAUACGGAGGGUGCGAGCGUUAAUCGGAAUUACUGGGCGUAAAGCGCGCGUAGGCGGUUUUGUAAGUCGGAUGUGAAAGCCCCGGGCUCAACCUGGGAAUUGCAUUCGAUACCGCAUGACUAGAGUAUGGGAGAGGGAAGUGGAAUUUCCGGUGUAGCGGUGAAAUGCGUAGAUAUCGGAAGGAACACCAGUGGCGAAGGCGACUUCCUGGACCAAUACUGACGCUCAGGUGCGAAAGCGUGGGGAGCAAACAGGAUUAGAUA
rnacentral:rRNA from 1 species